rnacentral:rRNA from 1 species
GACGAACGCUGGCGGCGUGCUUAACACAUGCAAGUCGAGCGAUGAAACUUCUUCGGAAGUGGAUUAGCGGCGGACGGGUGAGUAACACGUGGGUAACCUGCCUCAUAGAGGGGAAUAGCCUUUCGAAAGGAAGAUUAAUACCGCAUAAGAUUGUAGUACCGCAUGGUACAGCAAUUAAAGGAGCAAUCCGCUAUGAGAUGGGCCCGCGGCGCAUUAGCUAGUUGGUGGGGUAACGGCCCACCAAGGCGACGAUCAGUAGCCGGUCUGAGAGGAUGAACGGCCACAUUGGGACUGAGAUACGGCCCAGACUCCUACGGGAGGCAGCAGUGGGGAAUAUUGGGCAAUGGGGGAAACCCUGACCCAGCAACGCCGCGUGAAGGAAGAAGGCCUUCGGGUUGUAAACUUCUUUACCAGGGACGAAGGACGUGACGGUACCUGGAGAAAAAGCAACGGCUAACUACGUG